rnacentral:sRNA from 1 species
UCAAGUAGUCAUUCGACCGUUCAGUCAUA